CCCUUCUCAGGGUCACAUCUCGAGAGUUUCUAGUACUCUACCAGUCUCAACUAAGGGAGGAAGAGUCAAGCAGAGGCAUAUCCUUUCCAUUCCUAGCUUGGGCAGUGGUUAGUGAGUGGAAGGCAAUCUGCCACAAGU